GGCCAAGUUUUUAAGGGCGCACGGUGGAUGCCUUGGCACCAGGAACCGAUGAAGGACGUGGGAGGCCACGAUAGGCCCCGGGGAGCUGUCAACCAAGCUUUGAUCCGGGGGUUUCCGAAUGGGGAAACCCGGCAGUCGUCAUGGGCUGUCACCCGCUGCUGAACACAUAGGCAGUGUGGAGGGAACGAGGGGAAGUGAAACAUCUCAGUACCCUCAGGAAGAGAAAACAACCGUGAUUCCGGGAGUAGUGGCGAGCGAAACUGGAUGAGGCCAAACCGUAUGCGUGUGAUACCCGGCAGGGGUUGCGCAUGCGGGGUUGUGGGAUCUCUCUUUCACAGUCUGCCGGCUGUGAGGCGAGUCAGAAACCGUUGAUGUAGGCGAAGGACAUGCGAAAGGUCCGGCGUAGAGGGUAAGACCCCCGUAGCUGAAACAUUGACGGCUCGUUUGAGAGACACCCAAGUAGCACGGGGCCCGAGAAAUCCCGUGUGAAUCUGGCGGGACCACCCGCUAAGCCUAAAUAUUCCCUGGUGACCGAUAGCGGAUAGUACCGUGAGACCCGAAGCGGAGUGAUCUAGCCAUGGGCAGGUUGAAGCGGAGGUAAGACUUCGUGGAGGACCGAACCCACCAGGGUUGAAAACCUGGGGGAUGACC
rnacentral:ncRNA from 1 species